AAAACAACUACGGAGGGUGCAAGCGUUGUUCGGAAUUACUGGGCGUAAAGCGCGCGUAGGCGGUUUGUUAAGUCAGAUGUGAAAGCCCAUGGCUCAACCAUGGACGUGCAUUUGAAACUGGCAGACUUGAGUAUUGGAGGGGGUGGUGGAAUUCCCGGUGUAGAGGUGAAAUUCGUAGAUAUCGGGAGGAAUACCAGUGGCGAAGGCGGCCACCUGGCUCGUUAUUGACGCUGAGGCACGAAAGCGUGGGGAGCAAACAGG
rnacentral:rRNA from 1 species